rnacentral:rRNA from 1 species
UUAGUUAGUUGGUAGGGUAACGGCCUACCAAGGCUGCGAUGGGUAGCCGGUCUGAGAGGAUGGUCGGCCACACUGGGACUGAGACACGGCCCAGACUCCUACGGGAGGCAGCAGUGGGGAAUUUUGCGCAAUGGGGGGAACCUUGACGCAGCGACGCCGCGUGGGUGAUGAAGGCCUUCGGGUUGUAAAGCCCUGUUGGGGGGGAAGAUAAUGACGGUACCCCCUGAGGAAGCCCCGGCUAACUACGUGCCAGCAGCCGCGGUAAGACGUAGGGGGCGAGCGUUGUCCGGAAUUACUGGGCGUAAAGGGCGUGUAGGCGGCUUUUCAAGUCGGCUGUGAAAUUCCCCGGCUUAACCGGGGGGGUGCAGUCGAAACUGAUGGGCUUGAGUGCAGGAGAGGGUGGUGGAAUUCCCGGUGUAGCGGUGACAUGCGUAGAUAUCGGGAGGAACACCGGUGGCGAAGGCGACCUCCUGGCCUGUUACUGACGCUGAGGCGCGAAAGCUGGGGGAGCAAACAGGAUUAGAUACCCUGGUAGUCCCAGCUGUAAACUCUGGGUACUAGGUGUGGGGGGCUUCGAUGCCCUCUGUGCCGUAGUUAAC